AUGGUGGAGGUCUCACCAGAGGUGGUGGAGGCCGCUGUGGAGGUCACAGGGGUUGUUGAGGAGUCUGAGGAAGUCUCUGAGGAGGUGGUGGAGGCCGAUGUGGAGGACACAGCUGUGGAGGUCAGGCCUGUGGAGGUGCCUGGGGUGGUUGAAGAGGCUGUUGAUGUCUCAGAAGAGGUGGUGGAGGCCACAGUGGAGGUCACUGGUGUGGAGGUGAGGCCUGAGGAUGUUCCCGCAGAUGUUGAGGACACUGUGGAGGUCCCUGAGAAGGUGGUGGAGGCUGUUGUAGAGGUACCAGGAGUGGUGGUGAGGCCUGAGGAUGUUCCUGGAGUGGCUGAGGAGGCCAUGGAGGUCUCUGAGGAUGUGGUGGAGGCAGAUGUGGAGGUCAAAGGAGUGGAAGUGAGGCCUGUGGAGGUCCCUGGAGUGGAAGUAAAGGCAGUGGAGGUCUCAGCUGACGUGGUGGAGGCCGCAGUGGAGGUCAUGGAGGUUGUACUGAGUCCUGUGGAGGUGCCUGGAGUGGUUGAGGAGGGUGUGGUGGUCUCUGAGGAGGUGGUGGAGGCCAUGGUAGUGGACCCCGGAGUGGAGGUGAGGCCUGUGGAGGUUCCUGCUGUUGUGCUGGAAGCCGUGGAGGUCUCAGCUGAGGUGGUGGAGGCUGCUGUGGAGGUCAAAGGAGUGGAAGUGAGGCCUGUGGAUGUGUCUAGUGUGGUUGAGGAGGCUGUGGAGGUCUCUGAAGAGGUGGUGGAGGCCACAGUGGAGGUCACAGUUAUGGAGGUGAGGCCUGUGGCUGUUGCUGAAGUUGUGCUGGAGAUGGUGGAGGUCUCACCAGAGGUCAUGGAGGACGAUGUGGUGGUCACUGGUGUGGUGGUGGAGGCCGUGGAGGUCUCGGAAGAGGUGCUGGAGGCCGUGGUAGAGGUCACAGCUGAGGAUGUGAGGCCAGUGGAGGUGCCGGGACUUGUACUGGAGGCAGUGGAGCUCUCUGAGGAGGUGGUGGAAGACGUUGUGGAGGUCACGGGGGUUGUAGUAAGGCCAGUGGAGGUUCCAGGAGUGGUUGAGGAGGCCGUGGAGGUCUCCGAGGAUGUGGUGGAGACUGUGGUAGAGGUCCCUGGAGUGGAUGUGAGGCCUGAGGAGGUUCCUGGAGUUGUACUGGAGGCCGUGGAGGUCUCAGCUGAGGUGGUGGAGGCCACACUUGUGGUCAAAGGAGUGUACGAGGAGGCCGUGGAGGUGUCUGAGGAAGUGGUAGAGGCCACAGUGGAGGUUACUGGUGUGGAGGUCAGGCCUGUGGAGGUCAACAGUGUGGUUGAGGAGGCCGUGGAGGUCUGUGGCGAGGUUGUAGAGGCCGUUGUGGAGGUCUCCAGAGUGGAGGUGGAGGCCGUGGCAGUCUCAGAUGAGGUUGUGGAGGCCACUGUGGAGGUCACAGGUAUGGAGCUGACACCUGUGGAGGUCCCUGGAGUAGUUGAGGAUGGCGUGGAAGUCUCUUGGGAGGUGGUGGAGGCCGCUGUGGAGCUCAUGGGUGUGGAGGUCAGACCUGUGGAUGUCCCUGGAGUUGUACUGGAGGCUGUGGAGGUCUCAGGUGAGGUGGUGGAGGCUGCUGUAGAGGUCCCCAAACUGGAGGUCAGGCCUGUGGAUGUUCCCAGGGUGGAAGUAAAGGCGGUAGAGGUCUCAGCUGACGUGAUGGAGGCUGAUGUGGAGGUCAAAGGAGUGGACGUCAGGCCUGUGGAGGACAAAGCUGUGGUUGAAGAUACUGUGGAGCUUUCUGAGGAUGUGGUGGAGGCAGAUGUGGAGGUCACAGGCGUAGAGGUGAGGCCUGUGGAUGUUGCUGGAGUUGUGCUGGAGACGGUAGAGGUCUCACCAGAGGUGGUGGAGACCGAUGUGGAGGUCAAUGGUGUGGAGAUGAGGCCAGUUGAAGUUCCUGGAGUUGUACUGGAGGCUGUGGAGGUCUCAGCUGAGGUUGUUGAGGCCACACUUGUGGUCAAAAGAGUGGAGGAAGAAGCAGUGGAGGUCUCUGAGGAGGUGGUGGAGGCCACGGUCGAGGUCACAGGUGUGGAGGUGAGGGCUGUGGAGGUCAAUGAUGCAGUUGAGGAGGCUGUGGAGGUCUGUGGGGAGGUUGUAGAGGCUGUUGUAGAGGUCUCCAGAGUGGAGGUGGGUGCAAGGGAGGUUCCUGGAGUUGUACUGGUGGCCAUGGAGGUCUCUUGGGAGGUCGUAGAGGCCACAGUUGAGGUCAGGAUUGUCGAAGUGAGGCCUGUGGAGGUAUGA
ensembl:lncRNA